ACAAGCUGAGGGAGCCGGCUCCGGCCUUGGCCAGCCAAGAAAGGGGCUCCUACAGUGCAGCGGCGGGCUGAAGGGCUCAAGUGCCGCCAAAGUGGGAGCCCAGGCAGAGGAGGCGCCCAGAGCCAGCGAGGGCUGUGAGGACUGCCAGCAUGCUGUCACCUCUCAAUUACACACCAUGGUCAAAUCCUCUCAUAGUACAAGGUAUUUUAACAACUUGCAAAACCCCUAUCUGCAAUACUCAAGAAGACUAAUUUCAGAAUACUUAUCUGUGAAGCUGGAAAGCCAAAAUGAGAUUUCAGAGCCCUCACAGUGCUGGAGGAACAAAGUUGAACUUUAAGCUCAGCCAGGGUGCAGUGUACUAGGUUCCUCAUCUAUAAAAUGGAGAUAAUAAAAGAACCUAUUUCAUAUGGUUCAUUACCCCACCAAAUGAGCUAACCAAUGAGAGGAACUUAAGAAAACUCCUAACACAUGGCUUUUGGUAACCCAUAGAAGUAUUUGAUCAGAGAUAUGAAAUAAUCAAUGCAAUUGUUUAAGAAGAUCAUCUGACAGUGGUGUACAGAUAUAUUGGAGUAAAAUAACACACACCAGUGAGAUGAGGUGGGAAGCAAGAACAAUUGUCCCCAUGAGAGACAAAUGCAUUAACAGUGGAAGCUGCUGAAAAGAUUUUCCAUUCAUGGAUUUUAAUGAGAAAGGAUGAAAAAUCAAAGUAGUUUUAAGGAUUAAGCAAAGGAUUGGGAGUCUAUUCAAAAUGCCACAUUACAUUUGGAUGCCAUGUCUCCUUAGGUUCCUGUGGGCUGUGUCAAUUUCUGUGACAUUUUUGAUGAUGUUGACACUUUGGAAGACUAUUGGUAAAGUACUUUGUCGUAUGCACCUUUAUCCUCUAAUGGAAUUUAAAUUUAUCUAAUGUUUAUCUCAUGAUUAGACUGAGGUUAUCUGUUUUAGGGACACAGGUCACAGAGAUGAGGUGUCAUUUUUAUCACAUCACAUAAAGGAAACACUAUCAAGUGAUUAAUGACUGUUGAUGUGGACCUCGAUUCCCUGGCAGAGCGGGAGUUUGCCAGGUUUCUCCACUCUAAACUUACUCUUCUCCACUCUCUUACUAUACUAGACUCUGGAAGGAAGACAUUACAUGUAUCACACACUUAAGAAAUGGGGACUAAUACUCCCUCUCCUUGGUAAUGGAGAAUCUACAAAAAUCAUUUGGAAAUAUUCUUCAUGGGAGAUUUGUCUCAUCUCUUCUUCUUAUAUAUUUAUUUGUUCUUAUAAUUAUUUAUUUAUAUCAUGAUGUUCUCAUCAACAUAUAUUUUGUAUUUUGUAUUACAUUAAUACAACUUUCAUUUUCUUGCUCAAAUUGUUUCAGGAUUGGCCAUUGAGAGGUCUUUCAGUUGGCUCUUGUGUUCUGUCGAUAUAUCUCCAUAGGCAUUUUUUGUUUGUUUGUUUUUGCUUUUGGACACCUCCUCAUUUUCCAGCAUGACAAGAUGAGCUGUGUUCAUCUUGUGUAUUUCUAGGCCCAUCUCUAGAAUGAGCCAUUUAUCCAAAGAGCUUUGGUUUCUUUUAUUGGAAUAUAUUAGAAAACAAGAUCUGGAUGCAAACUGUGCAAGUUCUACUGGGGUGUCAUUUCUUUUAGGACCUCUUAGCACCUUUCAAAUAUAUGUCUAUAUAUUUGUCUUUAUAUAUUUACAUAUAAAUAAACAUUUCCAUAUUUGACAAUCUAUAUCUAUAUUACACUAAUAGCCUGAGAUCUUCACCUCUAUGUUUUAUUGAUUGAUGUGUCUUACUGAUUUUUCCAAACCUCAUCUAUCACUAUAUAAAUUAUUCUGGCCUCUUGCCCUUACUUUUACAUAAAUACUCACUUCAACAAAUAGAAACUUCACUCUCAUGAUUUACCAUCUAUUUACUUUAUUGUUCAAUUCCAGUGUACGUGUAUAGAAGUAUCAAGAUUGUCCACCAGUAUCCCAAUGGGAAAAACUUCAUUAGCCGGUAUAGUGCUUUUGUGAUGUUUCUUUCGCCUUUAGACUUACAUACAUCUCUCAUUUCCAAAAUUACUUAGUUCAUCAGCUACCCACCCCCCUCGCCCACCUUCUCACUGAGGUUGUUUCAUGUAUUUAUAAAUAGCAUUACAUUCUAUUGUCAAAGUCUGCAUUGCUUCCUAGGAUUCUCCAAUCUCCUAAAUGAUAUUUUUGUUUGCAUACAUUAAGGCUCACGCUGUGCUAUAAGUUUAUGGAUUUAAACAACUGGAUAAUGUCAUGUUUUCCACCAUGACAGUAUCAUAUAGAAUAAUUUCCCUCCCCUACAUAUUCCCUGUUAUUCACCUGUUCAUCCCUGUCCUUGUCCCCCAACAUCUCAACCUACCACUGCUAUUUUCACUCUCUCUAGUUCUGCCUUUUUCAAAGUAUCAUCUAAUGGGAAUGAUACAGUAUUUACCCUUUUCUGACUGC
ensembl:lncRNA novel transcript